rnacentral:rRNA from 1 species
UACGGAGGGGGCCAGCGUUGUUCGGAAUCAUUGGGCGUAAAGGGCGCGUAGGCGGCUUUGUAAGUCCGUUGUGAAAUCCCUCGGCUCAACCGAGGAACUGCGACGGAUACUGCUUGGCUUGAGUCCCGGAGAGGGUAGCGGAAUUCCCAGUGUAGCGGUGAAAUGCGUAGAGAUGUGGAGGAACACCGAUGGCGAAGGCAGCCCCCUGGGCUAACACUGACGCUCAUGCACGAAAGCGUGGGGAGCAAACAGG